rnacentral:rRNA from 1 species
CAAGGUAGCCGUAAGUCGUAACAAGGUAGAGUUACCUGCUGGCAAGAUAGGGAUAACUCCGGGAAACCGGGGCUAAUACCGGAUGCUUGUUUGAACCGCAUGGUUCAAACAUAAAAGGUGGCUUCGGCUACCACUUACAGAUGGACCCGCGGCGCAUUAGCUAGUUGGUGAGGUAACGGCUCACCAAGGCAACGAUGCGUAGCCGACCUGAGAGGGUGAUCGGCCACACUGGGACUGAGACACGGCCCAGACUCCUACGGGAGGCAGCAGUAGGGAAUCUUCCGCAAUGGACGAAAGUCUGACGGAGCAACGCCGCGUGAGUGAUGAAGGUUUUCGGAUCGUAAAGCUCUGUUGUUAGGGAAGAACAAGUACCGUUCGAAUAGGGCGGUACCUUGACGGUACCUAACCAGAAAGCCACGGCUAACUACGUGCCAGCAGCCGCGGUAAUACGUAGGUGGCAAGCGUUGUCCGGAAUUAUUGGGCGUAAAGGGCUCGCAGGCGGUUCCUUAAGUCUGAUGUGAAAGCCCCCGGCUCAACCGGGGAGGGUCAUUGGAAACUGGGGAACUUGAGUGCAGAAGAGGAGAGUGGAAUUCCACGUGUAGCGGUGAAAUGCGUAGAGAUGUGGAGGAACACCAGUGGCGAAGGCGACUCUCUGGUCUGUAACUGACGCUGAGGAGCGAAAGCGUGGGGAGCGAACAGGAUUAGAUACCCUGGUAGUCCACGCCGUAAACGAUGAGUGCUAAGUGUUAGGGGGUUUCCGCCCCUUAGUGCUGCAGCUAACGCAUUAAGCACUCCGCCUGGGGAGUACGGUCGCAAGACUGAAACUCAAAGGAAUUGACGGGGGCCCGCACAAGCGGUGGAGCAUGUGGUUUAAUUCGAAGCAACGCGAAGAACCUUACCAGGUCUUGACAUCCUCUGACAAUCCUAGAGAUAGGACGUCCCCUUCGGGGGCAGAGUGACAGGUGGUGCAUGGUUGUCGUCAGCUCGUGUCGUGAGAUGUUGGGUUAAGUCCCGCAACGAGCGCAACCCUUGAUCUUAGUUGCCAGCAUUCAGUUGGGCACUCUAAGGUGACUGCCGGUGACAAACCGGAGGAAGGUGGGGAUGACGUCAAAUCAUCAUGCCCCUUAUGACCUGGGCUACACACGUGCUACAAUGGACAGAACAAAGGGCAGCGAAACCGCGAGGUUAAGCCAAUCCCACAAAUCUGUUCUCAGUUCGGAU